CCUACGGGGGGCAGCAGUGGGGAAUAUUGGACAAUGGGGGCAACCCUGAUCCAGCCAUGCCGCGUGUGUGAAGAAGGCCCUCGGGUUGUAAAGCACUUUCAGUGAGGAAGAACGCCUGGUGGUUAAUACCCAUCAGGAAAGACAUCACUCACAGAAGAAGCACCGGCUAACUCCGUGCCAGCAGCCGCGGUAAUACGGAGGGUGCGAGCGUUAAUCGGAAUUACUGGGCGUAAAGCGCGCGUAGGUGGCUUGAUAAGCCGGUUGUGAAAGCCCCGGGCUCAACCUGGGAACGGCAUCCGGAACUGUCAAGCUAGAGUGCAGGAGAGGAAGGUAGAAUUCCCGGUGUAGCGGCGAAAUGCGUAGAGAUCGGGAGGAAUACCAGUGGCGAAGGCGGCCUUCUGGACUGACACUGACACUGAGGUGCGAAAGCGUGGGUAGCAAACAGGAUUAGAUACCCUUGUAGUC
rnacentral:rRNA from 1 species